ensembl:snRNA U6 U6 spliceosomal RNA
GUACUUGUUUUGGUAGCACAUAUACUAAGAUUGGAACAAUACAGAAAAGAUUACCAUGGCCCUUGCACAAGGAUAACAAACAAAUUUGUGAAGCACUCCAUAUUAAA